UACGGAGGGGGCUAGCGUUGUUCGGAAUUACUGGGCGUAAAGCGCACGUAGGCGGCUUUGCAAGUUAGAGGUGAAAGCCCGGGGCUCAACUCCGGAAUUGCCUUUAAAACUGCAUCGCUAGAGUUGUGGAGAGGUAAGUGGAAUUCCGAGUGUAGAGGUGAAAUUCGUAGAUAUUCGGAAGAACACCAGUGGCGAAGGCGACUUACUGGACACAUACUGACGCUGAGACGCGAAAGCGUGGGUAGCAAACAGG
rnacentral:rRNA from 1 species